UACGUAGGGUGCUAGCGUUGUCCGGAAUUGCUGGGCGUAAAGAGCUCGUAGGUGGUUUGUCACGUCGUCUGUGAAAUUCCGGGGCUUAACCUCGGGCGUGCAGGCGAUACGGGCAAUACUUGAGUGCUGUAGGGGAGACUGGAAUUCCUGGUGUAGCGGUGAAAUGCGCAGAUAUCAGGAGGAACACCGAUGGCGAAGGCAGGUCUCUGGGCAGUAACUGACGCUGAGGAGCGAAAGCAUGGGUAGCGAACAGGAUUA
rnacentral:rRNA from 1 species